AACGAACGCUGGCGGCAUGCCUAACACAUGCAAGUCGAACGAAGUCUUCGGACUUAGUGGCGCACGGGUGCGUAACGCGUGGGAAUCUGCCCUUGGGUUCGGAAUAACAGUGAGAAAUUACUGCUAAUACCGGAUGAUGACUUCGGUCCAAAGAUUUAUCGCCCAAGGAUGAGCCCGCGUAAGAUUAGCUAGUUGGUGAGGUAAAGGCUCACCAAGGCGACGAUCCUUAGCUGGUCUGAGAGGAUGAUCAGCCACACUGGGACUGAGACACGGCCCAGACUCCUACGGGAGGCAGCAGUGGGGAAUAUUGGACAAUGGGCGAAAGCCUGAUCCAGCAAUGCCGCGUGAGUGAUGAAGGCCUUAGGGUUGUAAAGCUCUUUUACCAGGGAUGAUAAUGACAGUACCUGGAGAAUAAGCUCCGGCUAACUCCGUGCCAGCAGCCGCGGUAAUGUGACUACUG
rnacentral:rRNA from 1 species